UUAGCAUGGAAUAAUGAAAUAGGACGUGUGGUUCUAUUUUGUUGGUUUCUAGGACCGCCGUAAUGAUUAAUAGGGACAGUCGGGGGCAUCAGUAUUCAAUUGUCAGAGGUGAAAUUCUUGGAUUUAUUGAAGACUAACUACUGCGAAAGCAUUUGCCAAGGAUGUUUUCAUUAAUCAGGAACGAAAGUUAGGGGAUCGAAGACGAUCAGAUACCGUCGUAGUCUUAACCAUAAACUAUGCCGACUAGGGAUCGGACGAUGUUAUUAUUUGACUCGUUCGGCACCUUACAAGAAAUUAAAGUUUCUGGGUUCUGGGGGGAGUAUGGUCGCAAGGCUGAAACUUAAAGAAAUUGACGGAAGGGCACCACCAGGGGUGGAGCCUGCGGCUUAAUUUGACUCAACACGGGGAAACUCACCAGGUCCAGACACGAUGAGGAUUGACAGAUUGAGAGCUCUUUCUUGAUUUCGUGGGUGGUGGUGCAUGGCCGUUCUUAGUUGGUGGAGUGAUUUGUCUGCUUAAUUGCGAUAACGAACGAGACCUUAACCUGCUAAAUAGCCCGUAUUGCCUUGGCAGUACGCUGGCUUCUUAGAGGGACUAUCGGCUCAAGCCGAUGGAAGUUUGAGGCAAUAACAGGUCUGUGAUGCCCUUAGAUGUUUUGGGCCGCACGCGCGCUACACUGACAGAGCCAGCGAGUACUCCCUUGGCCGGAAGGUCCGGGUAAUCUUGUUAAACUCUGUCGUGCUGGGGAUAGAGCAUUGCAAUA
rnacentral:rRNA from 1 species